AUUGAACGCUGGCGGCAUGCCUUGCACAUGCAAGUCGAGCGGCAGCACGGGUGCUUGCACCUGGUGGCGAGUGGCGAACGGGUGAGUAAUACAUCGGAACAUGUCCUGUAGUGGGGGAUAGCCCGGCGAAAGCCGGAUUAAUACCGCAUACGAUCUACGGAUGAAAGCGGGGGACCUUCGGGCCUCGCGCUAUAGGGUUGGCCGAUGGCUGAUUAGCUAGUUGGUGGGGUAAAGGCCUACCAAGGCGACGAUCAGUAGCUGGUCUGAGAGGACGACCAGCCACACUGGGACUGAGACACGGCCCAGACUCCUACGGGAGGCAGCAGUGGGGAAUUUUGGACAAUGGGCGAAAGCCUGAUCCAGCAAUGCCGCGUGUGUGAAGAAGGCCUUCGGGUUGUAAAGCACUUUUGUCCGGAAAGAAAUCCUUGGCCCUAAUACGGUCGGGGGAUGACGGUACCGGAAGAAUAAGCACCGGCUAACUACGU
rnacentral:rRNA from 1 species